rnacentral:rRNA from 1 species
GUCUAUGGCCAGACCACCCCGAAUGUGCCUGGUCUCGUCUGAUCUUGGAAGCUAAGCAGGGUCGGGCCUGGUUAGUAUUUGGAUGGGAGACAAAGUUAUCUGAUUAGUUUUGGAAA